rnacentral:rRNA from 1 species
GCCAGCGGCCAUAUCAUCCUGCAGCUCUCAACUGGCUUCCCACUGAAGUUAAGCAGGGUUGAGCCUGGUCAGUAACUGGAUGUCAGACCUCCUGGGAAGCUAUGGUUGCUGCUGGAA